rnacentral:rRNA from 1 species
UACAUGUGGGGCAAGCGUUGUCCGGAUUUAUUGGGCGUAAAGAGCUCGUAGGCGGUUUGUCGCGUCUGCCGUGAAAGUCCGGGGCUCAACUCCGGAUCUGCGGUGGGUACGGGCAGACUAGAGUGAUGUAGGGGAGACUGGAAUUCCUGGUGUAGCGGUGAAAUGCGCAGAUAUCAGGAGGAACACCGAUGGCGAAGGCAGGUCUCUGGGCAUUAACUGACGCUGAGGAGCGAAAGCAUGGGGAGCGAACAGG